rnacentral:lncRNA from 1 species
AGCGGCAGCGGGCGCCUGCGCGUGCGGCGGGGCCGGUCGGGCUCGGUCGGGCGCGGUGGCACUGGGCCAGUUCGGCCCAUUUUGACCGGGUCGGUCCGGUUUUCUCUUUUUUUUAGCCCUUUUCUUUUUCUGUUUUUCCUAUUUCUUUGAUAUCUUUUGAUUUUGAACUCCAAAUUGGUCCAAAUAAAUUCCAGAAAAUUUGUAGAAUCAUGUUUUGUCAUGAUUCAACUUUUGGGAGUAAUUUCCCUUCAAAAUAAAAUAUCUAAAAAUACAUUUGCCCUAUAAAUGAGUUUAGGACUAUAUAACUAUUUAAAUAAAAUAGUUUUUCAACUCCAAAUAAUUAUCCAAAAAUUAUGGGAUAGCUCAUUUAUGCAAUAAACCCCUUUUAUAAAUAAACCUUAUUGGUUUGAGGAUUCAAAGCUCAAAUGGGUGUAAACCCUCGGGUUUAAAUUGAAAUAAAAUCUUUUAAAGCCUUUUUAGAUUCAAAUUUGAAUUCAAACAUGCAAUUGUGGCAUGAUGCUUAUGGAUGCAAUGCAUAUGAAAGGUUUUGAAUUUUUGGGAUGUUACACGUCCUCCGCAGCCUUGGCCUGCUCCUCCAG